rnacentral:rRNA from 1 species
UACGAAGGGGGCUAGCGUUGCUCGGAAUUACUGGGCGUAAAGCGCACGUAGGCGGAUAUUUAAGUCAGGGGUGAAAUCCCAGAGCUCAACUCUGGAACUGCCUUUGAUACUGGGUAUCUAGAGUAUGGAAGAGGUGAGUGGAAUUCCGAGUGUAGAGGUGAAAUUCGUAGAUAUUCGCAAGAACACCAGUGGCGAAGGCGAGUCCCUGGACAACUUCUGACGCUGAGGCACGAAAGCUAGGGGAGCAAACAGG